AACGAACGCUGGCGGCAGGCUUAACACAUGCAAGUCGAACGCGUGUAGCAAUACACGAGUGGCGCACGGGUGAGUAACGCGUGGAUAUCUGCCUUUUGGUUCGGAAUAACCCCGGGAAACUGGGGCUAAUACCGGAUGGUUCCUUCGGGAUAAAGAUUUAUCGCCAAAAGAUGAGUCCGCGUCCGAUUAGCUAGUUGGUGAGGUAAUGGCUCACCAAGGCGACGAUCGGUAGCUGGUCUGAGAGGACGAUCAGCCACACUGGGACUGAGACACGGCCCAGACUCCUACGGGAGGCAGCAGUGGGGAAUAUUGGACAAUGGGGGCAACCCUGAUCCAGCCAUGCCGCGUGAGUGAUGGAGGCCUUCGGGUUGUAAAGCUCUAUUGGCGGGGACGAUGAUGACGGUACCCGCAGAAUAAGCCCCGGCUAACUUCGUGCCAGCAGCCGCCGUAA
rnacentral:rRNA from 1 species